rnacentral:misc_RNA from 1 species
AACGCACAUUGCGCCCGGCGGUAAUCCGCCGGGCACGCCCGUCCGAGCGUCGCUCCAGCACCCCUCGGGCACCAGCUGCCCGGUGUUGGGGGUCCGCGCCUAGCCGCGGUCCCCGGAAACCAGAGGCGGCAGCGCCGAGGCGUCCCCUGCAUAGUACAUGCUAGCAGAGGGUCCCCGGCGACGCCAGCCGCGCCGCGGCGCGCUAUACUAAGAAGACCUCGGAUCGGGUGGGGAUACCCGCUGAACUUAA